rnacentral:lncRNA from 1 species
GACAAUAGAGAAGAAUACCCUUCCCGACGGCGAGGUCGCGGCCUUCCCCAGGUACACUCACUCUUUUUUUUUGUUUUAAAUGAGAUAAAAUCUAAAUGAAUAAUAAAAAAAACUUGCAAAAAGGAAAAAAAAAAGAAACAGAAAAAUAGAAUGGCCAAAAUCACCUUGAAAAUUCAAGAGGAUAUUUGGCUAUUCAGUCAAUCGAGAAAUCGAAACCCAG